CCCACGAGCAAGCUAAAGCAAUAUUAAAGUCAUCACGACGGCUGUUUAUUUCUCUAAGAACAUUCCUAUGGAACACAGUAUUGAUUCUCAGCAUCAUAGCUAUAUGUGAGACCCUACUGUCCAUGACGAUUAAAAAAACCGUGUUUAUUAAAAUUCAGUCACAGUGGCACAACAUGACACGCAAUUAUAAACACAAAACAGAUGCAACACCAUCUUCACCAUAGUCAGCAGAGAUUGCAAUCUGCAAACCAGGGAAAUUUGUGUCCUUGAUUUAAUGGUUUAAAAUGCAGGAAAGCUGUUUACAUUCACUGUCAAAAUGUUUGCAUUACAUAUGCUCACUGCCCCUGUAGUGAAAAUAUUUCUCCACUAAGAUUGCAGAAUAAGCACAAAAUGAAGACGCACCCCUCUUAGUGGCAAAGAGCUGGCAUAAUGCAUUUCACCUCUCCUCAAACAUUUGUUAAGGGCUCAUCACGCUGCACUAUUUCUUCCCCUUGCCUUGGAUCAGCCUCUUGAGAAAUCAUUUAGCGUCACACACCCGUUCUCCACCCCCCACUAAUCAAAGAGCCUUUGCACAGUACUACAGACACUGCUUCCAUGUCUCAAAAGCACUAACAAUGCAGAUUUUUUUUUUUUUUUUGAUUGAAGUCCACUACAGCAGUUCUCCUUUAUCGCAAACUCAAGAUUACUCAACUGCAUUUGGAAAAGAUGCAGGCACUCUCCACGGCACACAUUUGGGAUUGAGUAGAUUCCAGGGGACUAUUCCCAAGAUAAAGCGCAUGUGCACACACAAAUCAAGGUCAUGGUAUCUUACACUGACUGUUGGCAGUGUUCGGACACUCUGAUUAAGCACUGAUCACAAAUAAAGCCAUUCUACAGGGCAGUGAGCUGAAUGCAAGUGAUGAUUCACAUGGAGCACCAACAAAAUUCAUGGAAUCAAGAAUUAUAGAAUAUCCCGAGUUGGAAGAGACCCACAAGGAUCAUUGAGUUCAACUUCUGGCUCCACACAGGACCACACAAAAAUCAGACCGUGUGUAUGAGAGCAGUGUCCAAACAGUACUUGAACUCCGGUAGCGUGGGGCCAUGACCACUGCCCUGGGGACUCUGUUCCAGGGCAUAUUCAUCCUCUGAUGAAGAACCUUUUCCUGAUAUCCAACCUGAACCUUCAGUAAAGCUGAACAAGUCUGAAUAAAAUGAAGAAAUGGGAGAACUGAAAGCAAAUCUGGCUGUGUACAAAGAGCAAAUGUGUAUGCCUGCUGCCUUCUGUGAUAGCUGGGAAGAGGACAGUGGUCAUUUAAAUAUACUCAUGGCAAUACUCAGGGCAUGAAGCCUAAGGCAAAGAAUGAAAUGAUUAACUCAAGUGCCAUUAAGUCAGAGUAUCCUACAUCUUAGAUGACAUGAAUCAAAGCUGUGGGAUUCAGACCUCUUCAAGACAGCUCGUGCCUCACAUAUACAACAGCUCUCACUGCCCGAGGCAUCUGACUCUUUCCCUGGCCAUCAAAGGCAGCUCCUUAUGAACCAGCUCCAGGACUUCUUUCUGGUCUUGUCUCUGCCCUUAUUAACACGAAGAAACAUUCAAAGAUGGGCUGCACACACUGCUGUUUGUUGUGGGCCACCAAAUGGCAUCGGAAGAGGGUACUGAUGCCUUUGAGGCACUCAGCAUGAAGUGCCAAGUAUGCUCCUAGCAUAUUACUGGAAGUACUGGAUGAUUUUUGUCUUCAGACCCAAAGAUACCUGUCAGCAAUGCAUAUUAGUAGGGCAGGGGGGAAAGGAAACUGUGUUUUAUUCCUUCCUAUUGCAAUACUUUGCUUUGUUUUUUAGUAUCUGAUUUACUGUUAACAUUAAGCCAGGAACAAAUGGAAAGCUCCUACAAAGAUUCAAAAGCUCCCUUCAAAACCUUUUCCUCCUUUCUGAUAUUCUUUGGAUGUAUUUUUCUAAACAGACAAUGUGUCAUACUUUUACAGUAUGCUUACUCGGGAUCUAAAUAUGCUUUCUCUAAAACCCCAGAUUAUUUAUUUAUUCGUAAUAAUUUUUUUCCAAAAUGCUUGGAGCACAUAAAGGGUCAUUGAUCUACUCAAGAAUGCACAGAAGUGUUUGUCAGAACCAUGAGAAUCUUUCCUGAUUUCUAUUACUUUGUCCUAAUCAGAACAGCAAUCUUUCUCUCUUAUCAAACAAACAGAGUAAGACACAUUUGUUUUUUAUCUGAAAAUAUGCUUCUAUGCACAGAGAGCAGAUAUAAUUUUUUAUCAUGUUUGCAUGAUGAAACUACACAGUUUUUGUCUUCUUUUUCUUCUGAUUUCAUAGGAGACUCUGAAACAAGUGUGUUAAACAUAGAAGGAUUUACAGCAACAUUGUCCUCUUUCUUGUGGGAAUAUUCUGUUACCAGCAUAUACAUAGGCAGAAUCUUCAGUAUAUCUUAAAAUCCAGCAAUGGAAGAUCCCAAGUUUAAAAUCUUACAGUUUCUCAGGUUUUUUAUUGAAGGGGAAAAAGAAAAUAAUAUUUAAAAAAAAGAGUAUUGCUGAGGUAAACCCAGCCACAAAUGUAUGACUCAGCCACUCAGUGUCACAUCUGUAUUCACAGUGCACACUGUGCAUGAAAGGCUCUCCAAGCAAUGGGGUCACACAUCCGAGUAUGGUAGCUGCUGAUCAACAGACACUACAUAGAGAAGUUAGGUUGCUGAUUUUACUGGAAUAGCAGUAUUACUGAAAGAUGUCAAUCUUUUUGGCCAGAAAAGGAUGAAGAAAUACAAUACAGUGCAGCUUAGACACAGUUAAUCUGCAAUUAAAGUGUUUUUAGUAGAAUAACACCCUGCUGGAAUUGCCCAUUUCAAUUGUUCCAUUGCUACAGUGAAAACUGCAACAAUUCCCCCUACAUGUAACACUGAGAAUUUUCUACUGCCUUUGUAUUGCUAAAUCAAUAAGAGAUAAGAUUUAUUCCUGGAACUGCUACAGAUAUUUUUGAAUUAUAAUUCUGUUCCACCUGGGAGAGAGCACAGAACAGAUUUCAGGUAUUUCCAAUACUAGUUGGGGCAGGAGACUUCAGGAACUGAGCACAAAAUCCAGUUUUUAUACAGUCCUACUCACUUUUUCUGCAACAAAUCCAAAAUACAGA
ensembl:lncRNA